rnacentral:lncRNA from 1 species
GGAACCUACUAUAACGGAUCCAGGAGGCCCACAGGUCUGAACAAACACACUGUAGUCUUCCAACUGGUACCUGGUUUCUGCUCCUGGAUUUACCAAGUGACUCCUCCUGUGACUCUGGAAGCCUUGAAAAACUUGGCAUCAUUCCUUCCUCUGCAGAUUAACAAUAACUUUAUCCAUCUUCUUUCCCACAACUAUGGAAAGGCUCCGAAAAAAAACAGAAAUCAUAACUUUGUACCUAAUUUGUGAUUCCUUGUGGAAGGAGGUAAAGUUCUCUGGGAAAAUUAGAGAUUGCACAAUGUUUCAAAUACUAAUAAUCAUAAUCUCAACAAUCUCUUUGCUAUAUUAAAAAACUUACAGGAAUUUAGAAUGCCUCAAACUGGAAACAAAUGUUCAUCAACAGGAAGGUAGAUUCAUACAAUGGAAUAUUCAAGCAUAAAAAGUAUGAACUACUAAUACAUAAAACAACAUGGACAAAUCUCAAAAACAUUAUGUUGAAUGAAAGAAGCCAGACUCAUAAGAGUACUCGUUAUAUAAUUCCAUUCCUUCGAAAGCCAAAUACAGAUAUUCAGGAAAAGUUCUCUACAUAUAACCAUUUUAUCUAUGUUAGUGGUACAUUGAGGAGGAGUCCAGAGACAAGAUAGCAAAUGUAUGGACAAGAUGCUGUGAGGGAAUAGGAUUCAGAAGAAUGUCC